rnacentral:rRNA from 1 species
CACGUAGGCGGAUACUUAAGUCAGGGGUGAAAUCCCGAGGCUCAACCUCGGAACUGCCUUUGAUACUGGGUAUCUCGAGUCCGGAAGAGGUGAGUGGAAUUCCGAGUGUAGAGGUGAAAUUCGUAGAUAUUCGGAGGAACACCAGUGGCGAAGGCGGCUCACUGGUCCGGUACUGACGCUGAGGUGCGAAAGCGUGGGAAGAAAC